rnacentral:lncRNA from 1 species
UAUAGAUUGCUGCAUAAGUGGCUAUAGUGCUUUGUUAUUAUUUAUUUGUUUGUUUAUUUACGGGUUCAGUAAUAAACGAGUGAGUAAUUUUUUAUUUGAACCGGCAAGUUAAUCAUUUUUAUUGUGUUAUAGCAAUUGGAAGUUUUUAUGCUUUUGAUUAUAAUAGCUGCUGAAGAGAAUUAUGAUUUAUGGAUGUAUGUGAAUUGGGGUAGGAGAUGCUCUGCUUUCUGGAGGCAUUAUUACCAAAAUUGCCUUGGCUGUUAUGGAUCAGGUUGGAUGUAUAAUCUUUUUCCUCAUUGUCUGUAAACUAACAGGAAUUACUUUAACCAACUAUUUGUUUAUCAGCAUAUCUCCACUUUUCAUAUUGGAAAAAAAUUGUGCAGGUGAUUGCUUUAUGACAUUUAAAAUUAUGCAAUGCGGCU